AGCGAACGCUGGCGGCAGGCCUAACACAUGCAAGUCGAGCGCCCCGCAAGGGGAGCGGCAGACGGGAGAGUAACACGUGGGAACGUACCCUUCGGUUCGGAACAACCCAGGGAAACUUGGGCUAAUACCGGAUACGUCCGAAAGGAGAAAGAUUUAUCGCCGAGGGAUCGGCCCGCGUCUGAUUAGCUAGUUGGUGGGGUAACGGCCCACCAAGGCGACGAUCAGUAGCUGGUCUGAGAGGAUGAUCAGCCUCACUGGGACUGAGACACGGCCCAGACUCCUACGGGAGGCAGCAGUGGGGAAUAUUGGACAAUGGGCGCAAGCCUGAUCCAGCCAUGCCGCGUGGGUGAUGAAGGCCCUAGGGUUGUAAAGCCCUUUCGGCGGGGAAGAUAAUGACGGUACCCGCAGAAGAAGCCCCGGCUAACUUCGUGCCAGCCGCCGCCGUAAGAC
rnacentral:rRNA from 1 species